AGCUUUGCGCUGUGGCCGUAUUAUAGCCAAUGAGGCAUAUUGAGGCGUGAUUAUUGCUAAUAGAAAACUUUUGCAGAGUCACAGACAUAGAAAACAAACUUGUGGUUACUAGGAAG
rnacentral:snRNA from 1 species